rnacentral:rRNA from 1 species
GACGAACGCUGGCGGCGUGCCUAAUACAUGCAAGUCGAGCGAAGUUUUUCUGGUGCUUGCACUAGAAAAACUUAGCGGCGAACGGGUGAGUAACACGUAAAGAACCUGCCUCAUAGACUGGGACAACUAUUGGAAACGAUAGCUAAUACCGGAUAACAGCAUUAACUGCAUGGUUGAUGUUUAAAAGUUGGUUUUGCUAACACUAUGAGAUGGCUUUGCGGUGCAUUAGCUAGUUGGUGGGGUAAAGGCCUACCAAGGCGACGAUGCAUAGCCGACCUGAGAGGGUGAUCGGCCACACUGGAACUGAGACACGGCCCAGACUCCUACGGGAGGCAGCAGUAGGGAAUCUUCCGCAAUGGGCGAAAGCCUGACGGAGCAACGCCGCGUGAGUGAAGAAGGAUUUCGGUUCGUAAAGCUCUGUUGUUAGGGAAGAAUGAUUGUGUAGUAACUAUACACAGUAGAGACGGUACCUAACCAGAAAGCCACGGCUAACUACGUG